rnacentral:tRNA from 1 species
GGCAGCAUGGCCUAGUGGAUAGGGCACAGCCCUGGAAGUCAGAAGGACCUAGGUUCUAAUCCUGGCUCUGCCA